UGUAGUCAUAUGCUUGUCUCAAAGAUUAAGCCAUGCAUGUCUAAGUAUAAGCAAUUAUACCGCGAAACUGCGAAUGGCUCAUUAAAUCAGUUAUCGUUUAUUUGAUAGUACCUUACUACAUGGAUAACCGUGGUAAUUCUAGAGCUAAUACAUGCUAAAAACCCCGACUUCGGAAGGGGUGUAUUUAUUAGAUUAAAAACCAAUGCCCCUCGGGGCUCUCUGGUGAUUCAUAAUAACUUCUCGAAUCGCACGGCCUUGCGCCGGCGAUGGUUCAUUCAAAUUUCUGCCCUAUCAACUUUCGACGGCUGGGUCUUGGCCAGCCGUGGUGACAACGGGUAACGGGGAAUUAGGGUUUGAUUCCGGAGAAGGAGCCUGAGAAACGGCUACUACAUCCAAGGAAGGCAGCAGGCGCGCAAAUUACCCAAUCCCGACUCGGGGAGGUAGUGACAAUAAAUACUGAUACAGGGCUCUUUUGGGUCUUGUAAUUGGAAUGAGUACAAUUUAAAUCCCUUAACGAGGAACAAUUGGAGGGCAAGUCUGGUAAAUCG
rnacentral:rRNA from 1 species